rnacentral:lncRNA from 1 species
GAUGAUCAUAUGAAUUCUCAUUUGGCAGCCCAUGAAACUGGUUGCUCUACACCAGGUGUAUUAACGCAGGGUUCACCACCAUGUUUAAUGUGUUGUCCCUUGGCAAAGCAAUACUAUUAAAGUGCAAGGGGCCAACCACAUUAGAUGCGUCUGCAAGAGUGCGUCUAGGAGGAGCUUCCUCUGCCAUCUCUUUUGUACUUUGCGUAGAUGCCUCCGGUGAGGGUUGUAAUAGCCUUUCAGGAGAAGGGAAUAGAUCUCUCGACGGACGUCUAACUUUCUGUUGCUCAAUCCUUCGAGAAGAGGUGGAUUUUUCUUUCUUCUAAUGUGAAUUGCUUCCUGCAUACACAAAAAACAAAAACCCUAAAAGCACUUUUAUAAAAAAAAAAUAAAACAAAAACAAAAACAAAAAUAUAAACCAAGUCAAAUUUAAUCAAAUUCACACUACUUGAAAAGUUAAACCACAAGUCCUUGGCAAUGACGCCAAAAACUUGUUUACACCCU